AGCCAAGCUAACUUCCAGCCAUGGCACUGUCUCCGGCUACGACCUUCCACGACCACGACGAGAGCUCCAGCUUUCCUGGCCCAUCACAAUCAUAACGACCUAACAGCCCAGUAGGACCGAUGGCCAGAGAUGGAGGAGGAGGAAGAUAGACGCAGCAGAGGGCGGGGAUAUUGAUUAGGAAGACUCCAACAGAAUUGACGCCCUGCUAACUGCCUUGAUUCAAUCAUUGAAUUUGAAGCAAUCCCAUCGGUUACUGCAGCGUGCCCUGAUCCGUGACCCCAGUUUGAUGUUCGACCUGGCACAUGACAUCUG